GCCGCGCCCCCGCCCCCCACGCGCUCACAAACACCGGGCCGCCCGAACCCUCCGCCCCGCCGCGUUCUGCCGCCGCCCGCCCGCCGCGACUCGCGGGGCCGCCCCAGCGGCUCGGCGCGCUGCGCUCCGGCCGGUCGGUGCGGGAGGACGCGCGGCCGCGCCUGCCUCGGUGGCCGCGCUGGGUGGGAGCAUUUCGGAGCGCCCAAGCCAUGGUGGCCAAACAGCGGAUCCGGAUGGCUAAUGAGAAGCACAGCAAAAACAUCACCCAGAGGGGGAACGUAGCCAAAACCCUGAGGCCACAAGAAGAGAAAUAUCCUGUAGGACCAUGGCUGUUGGCACUGUUUGUUUUUGUUGUCUGUGGCUCAGGGCAGACGUGAAUCGGCCAUGCUCGCAGGUCAACUGCAUAAACACUGGCCUUUCCUGGAGACUGCCAGAACUAUCUCGAAACUGUGACACCCAGAGGGGUCACUGCCCCCCACGCCCUGAGACUGGCAAGUGGGAUGUCUGAGGAACCGGACGGCCGUGCACCUGCUCUGGAGCUCCUUCCUCGGGAUCUGAGAUGGACAGGCUGGAGAAGACAUCUCAUCACCCAUCAGCUCCCUCAAGCUAUCUUUCAGAUCAUUCAGAGCAUAAGGAUGGGCAUGUGAGGAGGCCAGGGAAGGCUUUGAUUCAGCCGGUACCUGCAGGAAGCAAAAAGGCGGCAAGGAAUAGAAAAAAGGCUCACUCAGUCUUUCCCUGAUCACUUCAUCUUGGAUGUCAGACCAAAUUGCCUUCUCACGGGACAUCUUGGUGCAUCCGGGUCCUCAAGCGGAAAGGACAUUUUGCUUUUCUGUUGGCCGGAUGGGUAGCGGCGUGGGUCAUCCACGACAGUGCCGUCCUUUUGGUUUCCCCUUGGUUCACUAAUGUAUGCAUGUGGCCCUCUGAACGAUCGCUGGUUUACUUUCUACAGAUACAGUCUCUUCUCUACUGGGAAUUGGUUUUACAAAUAAAUGUCUUCGUUCAACCUUA